GAAAUGGUUCUUUUUGCCAACGGUGUGAAAGGAAUG
rnacentral:sRNA from 1 species